GCACCCGUAGCUCAGCUGGAUAGAGCGCCGGUCUACGGAACCGGAGGUCGCAGGUUCGACUCCUUCCGGGUGCG
rnacentral:tRNA from 1 species